AAAGAAAGAACAUGCGAUUUAAAUGGAUGGAAUAGAAUACUGGCAAGACUAGUGAUGCGAAUAGUAUUCAAGUUCAAUCUCGUGAUGUCCGAAGAACUGGGACUCAUUCUGCGUGGAUAUUUUACGAUACCCUAACACACGUGGAAAAAGUUGUUCUGUUUCAUCUACAUUCGUCUGUCGUAGAUGUGUUUGGCGGUGUCACUCAAUGUUGUGCGGUUUGAAGCCCAUUACGACACGCGCACGCUCCAUACGGACCAAUCAAUAGCAGACGAACAAUCCGCCCACUGUCGUCUGCGUUUGAAGAGAGUGUAGUAGAUGUUUUCAUUUCCCGCCAGAACCGCAGUGAGGUUGGGAAGGAUACCUGCUCGAGCUGCUAAUCUGUGAUCAGAAUUUGUGCUCUUCAUUUUUUUUCAAUCUGUGAAUCAGUAUACCGAGUUACUCGAGGCCCGUCAUCAAUUGCAUUUACUUGAAAAAUUGAACAUUAUAACACUGGCCCUGAGUAUCUACUUACAAAGCCUAUGCAUGAUUGAAAAAAAAACAUCUGAUGCCAUGGAAGAGAAGAAUAUGGCUUCCUGAACAAUGGUGAUUGAGGUUCCACUGAUAGACUAAGAAGGAUUGUUAAAAAAUGCUGUAUAACCUCGAAUAAUUCAAGCUAAAUGGACUUCAUUUUUUACCAACAGUAACGUCAGACGCAUUGUGUUACAGAUGUAACUAAAACAGAAAAUUUAAGUGAAUUGAUUGUUGAUACAACAUACAAACUUAUUGUUCAUUUCUCCCAUGAAGAACACGAAAGAACCAAGAUAAAUAAUUACAAAAACAAAGAGAACAUUCUAAUCAAAUCGUAAAUAAU
rnacentral:lncRNA from 1 species